UGAAGAACUUCUCCACCAUGCAGUGGUCAGUCCUAAGUAUGAGCCGCAGCCCAGUGCCCAACUGCAGCUUCUGAACACAUCACAACUGUCUGCAGAUGAACAGAGUUCCCGUGGAAASGAUGACGCUAGGCCCUAACACUCAGCAGGCCCACAGUGCRCGGCUGGCAGAGCAGCACUACAGUCUGCAGCUGAAGAGGAAGGUGUGGGCAGGCUGGCAUGCCCUGGUCCAGGGGAGGUGGAAGAUGUGCCGCGCCCGGGCAGAGGUCUAUGUGCACCUGUCGGCUGACUACGAGGACAAGAUGGCAGAGGUAAGGAGGGAAGAGCUGCACACACUACACACGUACAGGUUGCUGCAUACAGUAGGCCGAUACAGUUCCAACCAUGGAAACAGAGAUCAUAUGUAAUUCUAACACUCUGAAAUGUGAAUUUAUUGUUUUUGUUGGGUGUUCUGUACUAAAAUAAUACAAUUUACCCAGAGUUUCACAUGAGCACAGGACAGUAGCUAGCUACACUAACUGGACAAACAUUGUCUUAUAUAAAUAGUUGUCACUCACCAUACUGCACAGUUCCGCAGACCUGACAGCUUUUUAAAUGGCAAAUACACAUUUUUGAAGGUUUGUCUGUAAACCAGGUUUUGUGGAGGUUAAUAACAUUGCUUUACUUCAGCAGUUAUUCAUCAAUCACAGUGAGUGAGCUUGAUUGACUAAACAUGUAAUUGAUGGAGGCUGAAAGCCCAGUGAAAGAGAGGAGCUAGAGCAGUGAUUGAGCCAUAGACAUGUAGUAGAGCAGUCCUAGCAGAAAGGGAGGGAGGGGGGUAUUGGAAUGGAAGAGAGGAAUUGAAUCGGCUAGAGUUAUUGGCAGUACCAUAGACGUGAAGAGAAAGAAUGGAGCUAGAACAGAACACAGGCCUAGCACAGAGUGAGGGAGAGCUGGUUAUUACUGUGAGUGAGAGAAGAGAGGAAAUGGAGCAUAGACAUUGCAGAGAGACUGGUCAGUUCAGAGUUAGUGAUUUGAAACAUGCUUCCCUUUAACCUUUAUUCCUCAGUAACAAUCUAGCCUCUCAUGUUUUCCACAAUGUUACCUUUGAAUUUUAAUUACAGUACGGUUAACAACGAUGAUACAUUAAUUAGUCCCUCUCUCUCCUCCUUCCCCACACACUCUUUCUCAUCCCUCUUCUCUCCUUCUUUUCCCUCUCCCGGUUAGUAGCACGUGGCAGCGGUGGAUGCGGCCCAGGCUGAGAUCCAGAGCCUGCAGGCAGAGAGGGAGCAUUAUGAGAAGUCCAUGAAGAAGGCUUUUAUGAGGGGUGCGUGUCCUCAACAUGGAGGGCCUCAGCAUGUUCCACACUGGAAAGGGACGCACGGUGCACAACCUGCACGAUGCUCCACCCCUCCAGCACGAUCCUGGCUCAGGCUCAUUGGCCCGCCGCCUCUGUUCAGCCCACUCCACUUUGACCCCCCCGUACCAUCGUCCCAGAGUGACAGAGACAGUGAGACUCACACACCCUGGUUACAGUGCAUGCAACAGUUUUCACUAUUACGGAUCAGGUUCCGCCAUCAUUAAACAUAGUCACAUUUCCUGCCGUUGUAUCUAUUCUUUCUCAAGGCUUAACAUUUUCUCAUUAACAGUAUUUCAUAUGGGUGUAAUUGUCACUACACAAUACUGACUCCUCAAACACCCACUAUGUGAUACAUUGGAUAGGCCUGUUAUAUUUACAGUGGAUCAGUUUGUCUAAUUUCUUCAUCUCCUCUAUGUAUGGGCUUCUACAAUCACUCUUAAAAUCUGCCCACUCACUCUUAAAAUCUGCCCACUCACUCGCUCUCAGGUGGGUUCCAGGGCAGAGGUGUUCCACAGCACCCUACCACCAGGGGGUACUGCAAGCUCCCAGACAGGUUUAGUGGCUUUGCAAGCUCCCACAGAGCACAGACCGGUUCGUACUGACAUUGAUCUAUGGCACUGGGAGCUUAUCGUGGCUAUGUCCCAAUUCGCUACUCCUCUCCCACUUUGUCAUGGAUCUACAAUCAUUGGAUUGGUGUUAUCAUUGUUAAAUCCAUGAUGAGAAGUGUUUGGGAAAAGGGUGUCAGCCACUGUCUCUGGUUACUGUUUUCCUCACCAUUUGUCAAACAAAGUGAAAGGUCCCGUAUUUAUUGACUGUUCCUUAAUGAUCAUAAUCUGUAUCAGGUCAGUACACGGGUGAUCACAGCGAGUCAACAGAAAGCCUCCAAAACCUUGACCGCAUGCAUCACGGCACGCUCCGACCUCUGCGCACACAGCUUUGUCCGCACUCCCAGCAACCUAUAAGUCAUGGGUGUGGCUCCUCCCAUGACCGCUAUCGUGGAGCGCCAACACCCCGUCACACCAUCAGCACCAAACAUGUCUAUUUUACAAUGAAUCAAAAUCACCAAAACAAGUAGAUUAAUGAUCUGUAGAAACACACCUUU